GAUGGAUUAUUUGAUCAUUUGUUCGGUUCAUUCCCUCUGGGGCAUCUGGAAUUGGCCAUGGUUGGAACACAGGAUACUAGGCUAGAUGGACCUUUGGUCUGACCCAGGAGGGCUGUUCUUGUGUUCUUAUUAUUU